AACAAUGAAAUUUAUAGUAAGAGGAAAAUCCGUCGACUUUAGAAAUCGUGAGGGUUCA
rnacentral:tRNA from 1 species